UACGGAGGGGGCGAGCGUUGUUCGGAUUUACUGGGCGUAAAGGGUGUGUAGGCGGCUGGAUAAGUCUGGCGUGAAAUCUUCACCGCUUAACGGGAAGGGGUCGCUGGAAACUGUUCAGCUUGAGUAUGGUAGAGGCAAGCGGAAUUCCACGUGUAGCGGUGAAAUGCGUAGAGAUGUGGAGGAACACCGAUGGCGAAGGCAGCCUUCUGGGCCAACACUGACGCUCAUGCACGAAAGCGUGGGGAGCAAACAGG
rnacentral:rRNA from 1 species